rnacentral:lncRNA from 1 species
CUUAAGUUUUUUUAUUUUAUUUUAUUUUUAAAUGUAUUGUCUCGAAUGUAUCACGUUAAAAUAAUUGAGUAUCUUGGAGUGGUGCAUGAGCUAGUUGACAGUUUUUUACCAGCCCAUCUUGUAACGAAGAAGAAAAUAACUUCUAUUUAUAAGAAGAGGGAUAAUGUUUGGCUCAAUUAGCAGUCGACACACGUCCAAACAAUUUUAAAAAAGGGUGUAAACUUGCCAUCAACACUUAUACUACAAGAGGGAGAGAUCUCUUACACACACUAUUAAGGUACUAUAGAAAUUCGAACUUAAGACCACUGUUCUGCAAGUUAAAACCCUAAUUUUUCUUUUUAAUUGCUGAGAAUGUGUAGGAACUGAGACUAAAAUUUCCAGCGCAUGCAUCUGUGUAGGGCUUCGAUUAGAAUUUUUUUCUUCUUCUUAUAACGGGGAUAUCACUGUUUUGCUAUCACUUUUUGGUGUUGCUUUGCAAAUCUUUAACUCUUCUUACUCCCAAUUAAGCCACAUCUUCAUUUCAGGAGCCACAUAUUAUCCUAAGUAGAGUUCAUAUAAUUGGUGAUAGUUGAUUUGUACGUGUGACCGUAAUAUCAAGUCAAUGAAUAAAAGCCGUCUCAAAGGAAAUAACUACCAUGGUACGACAAUAGGUUGACAGAAAAGUUAAACAUGGAAUGGUGGUGGAUAUUGAAAAAUAAAUUUUCUACUCGUAAAUUAAAACAAAUUGACCUCGUACUCUGACCUAACCCCAAAAAAAAAAAAAGAAAAAAAAAAGAUUUGCCCUCAAAUAAUUAGAGUCUAAUUAUGUGGUGGUGAUGAAGACACCAUGGGAGCCGGAAUGUGUGCUUGUAGAAAAUCUACACAAUUCCUUGAUAAAACCAAUGUCUCACAUGUGAAGGUAAAAC